rnacentral:rRNA from 1 species
GAUGAACGCUGGCGGCGUGCCUAAUACAUGCAAGUCGAGCGGUAAGGCCCUUCGGGGUACACGAGCGGCGGACGGCUGAGUAACACGUAGGAACGUACCCCAAACUGAGGGAUAAGCACCAGAAAUGGUGUCUAAUACCGCAUGUGCUCUAAGGAGUAAAGCUUCGGCGGUUUGGGAACGGCCUGCGCACGAUUAGAUUGUUGGUGAGGUAAUGGCUCACCAAGUCGACGAUCGUUAGUUGGUCUGAGAGGAUGAUCAACCAGACUGGGACUGAGAACGGCCCAGACUCCUACGGGAGGCAGCAGUAGGGAAUUUUCCACAAUGGGCGAAAGCCUGAUGGAGCAACGCCGCGUGCAGGAUGAAGGCUCUAGGGUCGUAAACUGCUUUUAUAUGUGACGAAUAUGACGGUAGCAUAUGAAUAAGGAUCGGCUAACUCCGUG